rnacentral:rRNA from 1 species
UACGAAGGGUGCUAGCGUUGUUCGGAUUCAUUGGGCGUAAAGGGUGCGUAGGUGGCUUGUUAAGUUGAAGGUGAAAUCUCGGGGCUCAACUCCGAAACUGCCUUCAAUACUGGCGAGCUCGAGGACUGUAGAGGAGAAUGGAAUUCACGGUGUAGCAGUGAAAUGCGUAGAUAUCGUGAGGAAGACCAGUGGCGAAAGCGAUUCUCUGGGCAGUUCCUGACACUGAGGCACGAAGGCCAGGGGAGCAAACGGG